CGGACGGGUGAGUAAUGCAUAGAAAUCUGCCCGGUAGUGGGGGAUAACCUGGGGAAACCCGGCUUAAUACCGCAUACGUCCUACGGGAGAAAGCAGGGGAUCUUCGGACCUUGCGCUAUCGGAUGAGUCUAUGUCGGAUUAGCUGGUUGGUGAGGUAAUGGCUCACCAAGGCGACGAUCCGUAGCUGGUCUGAGAGGAUGAUCAGCCACAUCGGGACUGAGACACGGCCCGAACUCCUACGGGAGGCAGCAGUGGGGAAUAUUGGACAAUGGGCGAAAGCCUGAUCCAGCCAUGCCGCGUGUGUGAAGAAGGCCUUCGGGUUGUAAAGCACUUUCAGUGGGGAAGAAAGCCUUGGGGCUAAUACCCUCGAGGAAGGACAUCACCCACAGAAGAAGCACCGGCUAACUCCGUGCCAGCAGCCGCGGUAAUACGGAGGGUGCGAGCGUUAAUCGGAAUUACUGGGCGUAAAGCGCGCGUAGGCGGUCUGAUAAGCCGGUUGUGAAAGCCCCGGGCUCAACCUGGGAACGGCAUCCGGAACUGUCAGGCUAGAGUGCAGGAGAGGAAGGUAGAAUUCCCGGUGUAGCGGUGAAAUGCGUAGAGAUCGGGAGGAAUACCAGUGGCGAAGGCGGCCUUCUGGACUGACACUGACGCUGAGGUGCGAAAGCGUGGGUAGCAAACAGGAUUAGAUACCCUGGUAGUCCACGCCGUAAACGAUGUCGACUAGCCGUUGGG
rnacentral:rRNA from 1 species